rnacentral:rRNA from 1 species
UGAGUAACGCGUAAGUAAUCUACCCUGGUGUCUGGAAUAACACUCCGAAAGGUGUGCUAAUACCGGAUACGUUGGUUUACCAAGAAAGGUGGCCUCUGAAUAUGCUACUGCACUGGGAGGAGCUUGCGUACCAUUAGCUAGUUGGUGGGGUAAUGGCCUACCAANGGCGACNAUGGUUAGCGGGUCUGAAAGGAUGAUCCCCCACACUGGAACUGGAACACGGACCANACUCCUACGGGAGGCAGCAGUGAGGAAUAUUGC